UGUCCAGGGGGCCGCCUUCGCCACCGGUAUUCCUCCAGAUCUCUACGCAUUUCACCGCUACACCUGGAAUUCUACCCCCCUCUACAAGACUCUAGCCUGCCAGUUUCGGAUGCAGUUCCCAGGUUGAGCCCGGGGAUUUCACAUCCGACUUGACAGACCGCCUGCGUGCGCUUUACGCCCAGUAAUUCCGAUUAACGCUUGCACCCUCCGUAUUACCGCGGCUGCUGGCACGGAGUUAGCCGGUGCUUCUUCUGCGAGUAACGUCAAUUGCUGAGGUUAUUAACCACAACACCUUCCUCCUCGCUGAAAGUACUUUACAACCCGAAGGCCUUCUUCAUACACGCGGCAUGGCUGCAUCAGGCUUGCGCCCAUUGUGCAAUAUUCCCCACUGCUGCCUCCCGUAGGAGUCUGGACCGUGUCUCAGUUCCAGUGUGGCUGGUCAUCCUCUCAGACCAGCUAGGGAUCGUCGCCUAGGUGAGCCGUUACCCCACCUACUAGCUAAUCCCAUCUGGGCACAUCCGAUGGCAAGAGGCCCGAAGGUCCCCCUCUUUGGUCUUGCGACGUUAUGCGGUAUUAGCUACCGUUUCCAGUAGUUAUCCCCCUCCAUCGGGCAGUUUCCCAGACAUUACUCACCCGUCCGCCACUCGUCACCCAAGGAGCAAGCUCCUCUGUGCUACCGUUCGACUUGCAUGUGUUAGG
rnacentral:rRNA from 1 species